UAAUAGUUGGCCGCUGCAUUCACAAGUUUUGCCAAACUUGGUUGUGUUUUAGGGCUAAAGUUAAAGAAAGUUAAAGAACAUUUCUAGGAUGCAUACAUUUGAAAUGUUUUUCCUAAUUGUUGCCAUACUUGGCAGUGUUUUAGCUCUAAAAGAUCAAAACUUAUGCCCAGGGCAAAACUAAAGCCAUGAAAGCAUAAUGACAACCCCGACGACAAGUGCGCGUAAUGGCUGCAAAAGAACAAAGUUGAGGAGUGGAUGAAAUGGCAGAAGGACGAAGGACGAAGGACGAAACAGGGUGACAUACAGCUGGGCGGACAAUUAGCAACGGGGUGCCAAAGUGCAAUUCGCGGCAUCCAGUUGGGCUAAAUAAUGCUAUUAAAUUAUAACCCUUUAUAAUAUAUAUAACAUAACUCUU